CCUGGGAACAGCUUGUCAGUGUUUACAAAGCACCUUCUCAUCUCAUCUGAGUCUUCCAACAGCUACGUGAGGAGGAUAGGACACUUACAAUUACUUUUCCCUUGUAACUGAUGCAUCACUAAGAGGAUGAACAGCCAACUUGAAAUUAGCCUGACCCAAGUUAGAAUUCCACCUCUGCGAUUGAGUGACCUUGGGGGCUGCUAACUGUGACCUCCCAGGGACAGCAUGACAUCGAUGUGAACAGAGGGACGUAGUGAACAGCAGAGCUCCUGUGAGGAUGAGGUGACAUGUCGCUGCUGUUUUCUGCCCUCACGUUAUGCUGUGGUGAAGUCGCUCACUGCAAAGAACCUGGGCUCCAGGACACAAAGCCUGCAGGAUACACAUAUCAACGAUGCCCUAGGAGAUGGUGGAGCCACCCGAUGGAAGGAGCCUGGGCAUCAGGAUAGGGAGAGCUGCCCU